ACACAUCAUGCGACAUGGUUAGUGUUUCUUAGUUUUGCAUGGAUGUGAGGAAGAGUUUAUUUCAUUGUGCUCACGUUACCUGUGCGCGAAUUUGUUGAUAGGCGUUAUGGAAUGAAUCUCCCUAAAGAUGCAGAUAUAAAUGAUGGAGUGUUGUCUCAUAGUUGCUAGGCAUUUGUAAUGAGAUAUGCAUUGUCGUUUGUUAAACAAUUUGGCAUACCAAGAGAGGGGGAGAUGUAUUUUA